rnacentral:rRNA from 1 species
CCUACGGGUGGCAGCAGUGAGGAAUAUUGGUCAAUGGGCGGGAGCCUGAACCAGCCAAGUCGCGUGCGGGAUGACGGUCCUACGGAUUGUAAACCUCUUUUGCCGGGGAACAACGCGGUCCUCGCGUGGGCCCGUUGAGAGUACCCGCAGAAAAGGCAUGGCCUAACUCCGUCCCAGCGGCCGCGGUAAUAGGGAGGCGGCGAGCGUUAUCCGGAUUUAUUGGGUUAAAGGGGUGCGUAGGCGGGCUGUUAAGUCAGCGGUCAAAUGUCGGGGCUCAACCCCGGCCUGCCGUUGAAACUGGCGGCCUCGAGUGGGCGAGAAGUAUGCGGAAUGCGUGGUGUAGCGGUGAAAUGGAUAGAUAUCACGCAGAACUCCGAUUGCGAAGGCAGCAUACCGGCGCCCGACUGACGCUGAGGCACGAAAGCGUGGGUAUCGAACAGGAUUAGAUACCCCGGUAGUC